rnacentral:lncRNA from 1 species
AUGUGCUGCCAGUCUUGUAUGCUCCUCCUGAGACAGUGGUUGGCUUUUAAGGCAAUUAACAGAUUCCAAGAGUUCCUUUUGGAAAGUGGAAGAAGAGAACAAUCCCCUAUUAAAUUCCAAAGUCUGCCACUUCUGAAACUCAUUGCACUACUAGCUGCUCUGAUUAAGUGGCUCCUCAUUUCAGUUGAGGGAAGUACAAAUUGGCACCCUGGGCUCCCACAGUUACCUCUGGGUCUUUCUCAUGGGAAAUGCUUGGGAGCUGAGCACUAAAGGUAAUGAGAAGACCCAAAAGUUUUGGGUUCAUCUCGAAGUGGAUAGAGUAAGACACCAUGUUUGCUGACAGGAACUGCUGAAACAGUGUGUGCGAGCGUGUGUGUGGGCUUAAUAGCUCAGGGCCGAAUCUCAGACUCAUAGCAAUGAUACCUAAAUGAAUUUUUACUUAGCGUAUUGCUAAAAUCUUCUGGGACUGAAUCCACUUACUCUCAAUUAAUAUCGAACUAAACAAUUACAGUUGUAUAUUUAAAACCAUUUUCACUGCAAGGUAAACAUUUCAGGCCUAGAAGAAAGUCCACUGAAAUCAAUCAACCCUUCUGUGCAUUUCAAAAGCAUUCACAUCAUUCCCCUUCUACUACCACCAUGCUCUCAGCUGCCCUGUCUCCAAGAAAACCCUCUGCCCAGAAGGCUGUGCUGCAUUUCAGUUAAACUACCCGUUUCCUAGUGCUCUGCUGAUCAGAAAUGCCUUUCCUCUUCGGGCUGGCCUGCCUUGCAUGUGGCAUCAAAAAACAGACCACAUGCCAAGCGGUAUUUCUCUGGUACCUCAUUUCCCAAAAUGCCACAACCACACCCAGCUCUUUACUCAGAGAGCCGUGUCAGACCAACUCCGUGCAUGCAGAGCUUUCACUAGUAAAUAAUCUCAGGGCGCCAAACGAUGUGUUCAGGAGGGGGUAGUGCUCUUGGAGGCUAUUGGCAGUCAUUCAGAUGACAACCAGCUGCAGAGAGCUUUAAGAACAGUGUUGCACACAUACACAUACACACAAAGAAAAGAAAGAAAGGGAAAAUUGUUGACUGAAGACAUAUUGCCCUUGAUUGAAUAGUGAGGAACCUGCUGUCAAGAAAAUAGAUAUUUGGGAAAUCUAUUUUAAAAAAAAAGGGUUGUCCAUUUUACUGGCUGUGGAUCAGCCUUCAAUUGUCAGCCUUCAAUUUCUGAAGAUAGACA